GGAAUGNUCUCUGGGUGGCGAGUGGCGGACGGGUGAGGAAUACAUCGGAAUCUACCUUUUCGUGGGGGAUAACGUAGGGAAACUUACGCUAAUACCGCAUACGACCUACGGGUGAAAGUGGGGGACCGCAAGGCCUCACGCGAUUAGAUGAGCCGAUGUCCGAUUAGCUAGUUGGCGGGGUAAUGGCCCACCAAGGCGACGAUCGGUAGCUGGUCUGAGAGGAUGAUCAGCCACACUGGAACUGAGACACGGUCCAGACUCCUACGGGAGGCAGCAGUGGGGAAUAUUGGACAAUGGGCGCAAGCCUGAUCCAGCCAUACCGCGUGGGUGAAGAAGGCCUUCGGGUUGUAAAGCCCUUUUGUUGGGAAAGAAAUNGAGAUUUNAUCCAGGCUCAGCGGUCA
rnacentral:rRNA from 1 species